rnacentral:lncRNA from 1 species
CCUGCCCAUCUCCUCCUCUCUCAAUUCUUGCAGCCACACCACCAAACCCUAGCCGCCCCCCCAAUCUCCUCCUCCCAAGGUGCCAAUCCUUGCCGCUCGGAUCAUCGUCGUGGUGCGAGUCUUCAAUCGUUUUGGUGGAGGGAAGAAGGGAGGAAGGAAAGGGGGAGAAUCCAAGGUGGUGGACUCCCAGAUCGUUCUUAGGGAUUUGCCCAAACUUCCAGUGAAGGCAAGUAAAACUGUGAUGGUUAUUCCGUCUGUCAGAUGAGGAGUCUUAUACUUGAUUAUGUUGUGCUAUUGUGUUCAUAUUCAUAUUUUCUUUUGAGUACCAUCAUUUGAAAAUGUUCAUGUUUCAUGGAUUUCAUAUGUUGAGUUUGAGGUUUGAUUAUGUUACUCAAGUGGUUAUUAUGUGGAAUGGGUGGAAGUAAAUGUCUAGCACAUUUUUAUUUGGGAAGAACUCAUGAUGUUGUCAUGCAUAAUGCACUCAUCAUCCAUUGCAUUGAAGUUUCGUCGCGAUCUUAUGGUUCGACCGUACCGGUACAUUGAGCAUCAUAUGUUGCCCGAGAAGGGGUAUGGUGCAGCUUCAUAUCCUUAGAGAUAUGGAGGCAGAAGUCAUUAUUGCAUUUGUAGCUAUGUGCAUUUAUGGGAGAGGUGUGGAAUUUAUUAUGUGGAUGUGGAUAAUUUGGACUUACGCAUGGUGAUUCUACUUGGCGUUGAGUUUUUAGUUACUUGUUUACUUGCUGCAAUUUGCUAUUCAAAAGAAAAGAAAGAAGUUCUGAACACGUGGUUGUGUAAGCACAGUUGAUUUACAAUGUCCUAUUUGUUGUUGUUAUGUUUACUUGCUGAGAUGUGUUAUCUCACAUCUUGCAUUGUUUGAUGCAGGCACCUAAUUUCUGCUUUGGGAAUAGAGGGAUGUAGCAGCACGGCCACUACACCUUUAAUAAAGGAACCACCAUUUAAUAAUGUUGUUAAUCAGAGUUGGUCAAGUCUAGUGAAUUGCUUUGUUCUUGGUUGAGCGUUUAUUUUGGGGUGGGCUGAGUUUCGUAUCCCAUUUGUUUUACUUCAGUUGGGGCAUAAAUGAGCUUUACCACUUUGCAUCUAGUUUCUACUAUGUGAAUUAUAUGUCUUUAUAUCCUGUAUGAACUUCAUGUUUUUCCCUCCUUGUUAUGUUAGUUUCAAAGGAGGUGCUGCCGGAUUUUGCUAUGUUUUCUUUCUUUAUUACGCUUCUUGUGUGGAGUAAGUUAGGUGGGUGGGGUUUUUGGUGAUAUCCAUUGUGUGUGACCAGUGGGGUGUUACAGUAGGUAUCAGAGGAAUAGGUUGUAGAUCCUAGCAAGUGAAGUAAUAAUAAAUUGACACACUGCACAUGUAGGAUGGGAUUUCUGGCUUGCUAUUGAUAUGUUCUGUUAUUGUAUGUGCUAGUUUGGCAUUAUCUGAAGAGAUGUUAUGACAAUCUUAUUUACUUAUUAUUCUCAUCCUUGUGGCUGCAGCUAUGCCGCCUAGUAGGGCUCGAGGUAGUUCGCAAGCUCCUAGUGGGGACUCGAUGAGUCCGGCGGCAAUGUUAGCCGCGAUGCAGGCCAUGCAGCAGGAGUUGGCCCUUCUGAGGCAAGCCAUUCCUGUCGCCCCUGCGGGUGCUGCUCAGGGUGCUGGAGGUGGAGAAGUGCCCGGGGGUGCUGUCCCUGCGGGUGCUGUUCCAGGUGGCGGGGCCGAGGUGCCUCUUUCAGUCAGUGGUCUUUCUCUGAUGCAGUGGAUGGGCAUGAAGUUGGAUUCUUUUGAUGGCAGUGGUACUCCGGUCGAGGCGGCAGAUUGGUUGACUUAUGUGGAGGAUAAGAUGAAUGUCUUCGAGAUUGCUUAUGGAGAUCGGGUUCGCUUUGGCACUCAGCUGCUGAAGGGAGAGGCUCAGAUUUGGUGGAGAGGCGUGCAGGCAGCGCACUCAUCCUCUCCAGGAGUCCUAUCUUGGGAUGCUUUCAUCAGGCAGUUUGAAAGGAGAUUCUACCCGGUCACCUUUCUAGAGAAAAUGAAGAUUGACUUGCAGUCCUACAAGCAGGAGAAGAAGUCUGUCACAGAGUAUGAGGUGGGCUUCAACAAGAUGGUCCGCUUUGUCCCUCAUGUGGCUUAUAAUGAGAUGGAGAAGGCGAGCCAGUUCCGUCAGGGUCUGAAGCCUUCUAUCAGGCAUGCACUGGGGGCCUUUCCGUUGGUGGACUUCCGUACCACGGUGGAGCAGGCGCUGGGUGUGGAGAUGCAACACCAGUAUACCAUGGAGUCGCAGAAGUCUUCGGGUGUUGAUCAGCCUCGUAGCCAGGACACGAGGAGGGGCAACACUGGAGGUCCAGCUCACAAGAGGGGCAAGUCUCAGCAUCAGCGCCACCAUCCUUACCGUGGCAAAUCUUGUGACUCGGGUACUUCGGGAGGAAGUACUCAGAGGUUUCGAGCAGUUCCUAAGCCCGGGCUGGGGCUGGUGUGUUUCCGCUGUGGAGAUGCGCAUCGCCGUGUAGAGUGCCAGUGGAGUGGCAGGUGUUCUAUCUGCAGUCAGGACCACAAGGAUGUGGUGUGUAGGAGGAAUCCCAAUGGGAAGCUCAGAUGGGAGCCGGUGACUUCCUCCUCUUCUCAGGGCACUAUCAACAUGAUGUCAAGUGCUGAGCAGCAGUUUUCAGUUCCUCUUCCUCCACAACAGCUUUAUGUGCCUGAGACUUCUCAGUUCGUGCCGAUGCAGGGUUUUCCUCAGUAUCAGGUCGCGCCUACUCCUGCACCGUCUACUCCUAUGUCGUCUCAGUUUGGAGCUCCGCGCCUGCCUCAUCCAGUGGCUCAGUGGGGUUCUUCUGUUAAUUUCACUACGGGGGCUUCCUCUUCUGCGGGUAUUUCUGGAGCUUAUGUGCUACCCGCUACGGAUGGCAGGGAGCAAGGAGACGUGGUGACAGGUAUGAUUUCAGUUGAUUCGUUUGCAGCCCAUGCUCUUUUUGACUCUGGCGCUAGCUAUUCGUUUGUUUCGGAGGAUUUUGUGUCACGGGCUGGUCUUUCGGUGCAGAGGUUGGGUCACCCAAUUUUGGUUAGAUCUGCUAAUGGCUCCAUUAGUAGCUGUUCAGUUUGUCAGGGGUGUUCCGUCAUUCUUGCUGAUGAGGUUUUUUCGGCCAAUCUGGUGGUGAUUUCCUUGGGGGCAUUCGAUGUUAUCUUGGGUAUGGAUUGGUUAUCCCAGUAUCGCGCGGUUAUAUCCUGCUUCUGGAAGACAGUGUUAUUGCAGGCGCCGUCGGGUAAGGAGGUGGUAUUCUUGGGAAGUUCCCCGAAGUUCACAUUAUCCUUGUUGGUGCAAUUGCUUCCUGAUCGCCGGUCAAGGAAGUCGGGGAUCAUUUUCUCUAUGGUGGUGGAGGGUGAGGCUGCCUUGCGGGUGCAGGACAUCCGGGUGGUGUGUGACUUUGCUGACGUGUUUCCGGCGGAGCUUCCAGGCAUUCCUCCGGAGCGUGAUGCAGCUUUUGAGAUUAAGCUGAUCUCGGGUACGCAGCCUAUUCAUAAGGCCCUGUAUCGAAUGGCCCCAAAGGAGCAGAUUGAAUUAAAGCGGCAAUUGGAUGAUCUGCUGGCUAAGGGCUUCAUUAGGCCUAGCAGGUCUCCAUGGGCUUCCCCGGUAUUGUUUGUUGAGAAGAAGGAUAAAAGCAAGCGGCUGUGUGUGGAUUAUCGCGCUUUGAAUCAAGUGACAAUCAAGAAUAAAUAUCCGCUUCCUCAAAUUGAGGUCCUAUUUGAGCAGUUGAGGGGUGCCCAGGUGUUCUCCAAAAUUGAUUUGAACUCCGGUUAUCAUCAAUUGAGGAUUCGUGAGGAGGAUAUUGAGAAGACCGCCUUUUGCACCAGGUAUGGGCAUUAUGAGUUCAUAGUCAUGUCUUUUGGCUUAACUAAUGCCCCUGCUGCCUCUAUGGAAGCAAUGAAUAGGAUGCUGCAUGAAUUCCUGGACGAUUUUGUGGUCGUGUUCCUGGAUGAUAUUUUGAUUUAUUCAAAGACCGAGGCCGAGCAUGAACAACAUCUCCGUCUCGUUCUGGGUGCCCUAAGGAAGAAUCAAUUCUAUGGCAAGUUGAAGAAGUGUGCCUUUUGGCUAUCCGAAGUGGCUUUCCUGGGGCACGUGAUUAAUCAGCAGGGUAUUGCGGUUGAUCCCAAGAAUGUUGCGGCUGUGGUGGAGUGGAAGAGACCUUCUAGUGUCUCUGAAAUCCAAAGUUUCUUGGGGCUUGCUGGGUAUUAUCGGCGCUUCGUACCAAAUUUUUCCAGCAUUGCUAAGCCUUUGACUAGGCUCUUGGAGAAGGGUGUUCCCUUCGUCUGGUCCAGCGAUUGUAAGGUCAGUUAUCAGUCAUUGAAGAGCAAGUUGGUGGACGCCCCUAUCCUAGCUUUACCUGAGAGUGGUAAGCGUUUCACAGUUUAUACGGAUGCUUCGCGUAUUGGUCUUGGCUGUGUGCUGAUGCAGGAAGGUAGAGUGAUUGCUUAUGGCUCAAGGCAGUUGAGGAAGCAUGAGGGGAAUUAUCCAACUCAUGAUCUGGAAUUGGCCGCGGUGGUUUUUGCUCUAAAGUCGUGGAGGCAUUACCUUUAUGGCGAGGCUUGUGACAUUUUCACCGAUCACAAAAGUCUCAAGUAUAUUUUUACUCAGAAGGAGCUGAAUUUGAGGCAGCGUCGGUGGCUGGAAUUGAUUAAAGAUUAUGAUUUGUCCAUUCAUUAUCACCCGGGGAAGGCUAAUGUGGUGGCUGAUGCCCUUAGCAGGUCUGGGGUUCCAAAGGUGGCCUUGCCGUUGAUCGCUGAUCUGGACCGUUUGGGGAUCGCUUUGUGUUAUGUCGGCACCGCUAGCAAGGAGACUCAGAUGCUUAUUCAAUCCUCUCUCAUGGAGAGAGUGCGUGCGGCUCAGCAGCAGGAUCGUCUAUUGCAGGAAGCUCGAAAGAGGGUGGGUGAUGGUAAACCGCGGGAGUUCACCAUUGAUGAGAAUGAUUUGGUUCGUUUCAGGGGCCGCCUCUGUGUGCCUCAGAAAUCAGAGGUGAAGAUGGAUAUCUUGAGAGUAGGCCUGGGCAAUCGGUGUAAUCGGUUUUUUCGGUUCGGUUUUUUUGGUGUUGUAGAAGUUCGGUUUACAGACAGAGAUGACCGAUCUACGCGUCUUACAGAAGAAAACCGAGAAAUUCGGUUUUCGGUUUUUUGGUUCGGUGUUCGGUUUAAACUGAACACCCGAACUUUUUCCACAUUCCCUGUCUUUUGUACCGAGUUCAUGUUCAUGUGGUGGGGAUGAAUGAAACCAUGCAUAGGCUCUGCUCUGAAUACAUGUUCCUGUUUGUUGCCAUUUUUUCUUCCCAUUGCUGAUGCAGUAUAUCGUUGGAAGGUACUUACUUCCCAGUAGCUCAAGUGAAGAGGUUCCACAGCACUCAAUGUUCCUGAUGGCUGAUGGCAGCCAUAAAUUACGCAUCUUUAUCAGUUAUCACACACGACAGCCAAGAGAAAUAUAUUGGGAGUUCGACAAGAUGUUGGGCACAGCAGCACACAUGCAACAAACAGCCACUAACCAGCAGCACGCAUGCAGCAAACAGCCACUAACCAGCACUGCACAACACAGAUAUUGAGAUAACCAGCAGCAAAUAGCCACUCUCCGACUAGCACUGGCUCUCUGCCCCUAGUACGCUGAGCGCUGGCGGCUGGCUGGUAGCCGCCCCUAGCACUGGCUCUCUGCGACUCUGUCGUGGAGCGAGCGAGCGGGCUCUCUGCGACUCUCUGCGGCUGGCUGGCUAGUCCGCUGGGCGCCAAGCCCCCAAGCCGUGGAGCGGGCGGGCGAGGCGGCGAGCGGCCGACUGGCGACUGGGGAGCGUGGAGCGAGCGGCGGAGCGGGCGAGGCGGCGAGGCGGCAAGCGGUCGAGCGGCGAGCGAGCGGCGAGCGUGAAUCCGUGAUCGUGAUGUCGUCUGUCGGUCUGUGUCUGUCUGAUUUAGGGUUGCUGUCUUGCUUAGUUGGGCCGUUGGGGGCAUUGGGCUUGGGCCAGUUGGGCGGCUGCAAGCACACCACAAAGAAUGAGAGGAAUAGAGGAUCAGGGGCUAUUUGGUUUCAUAUAUGGUGUUUCGGUUCGGUGUACACUGAAAACCGAGGCCGACACCGAGCACCGAAGUUCUCAGGAAUUGAAACCGAAACCGAAACCGAACCCCGAAAAACCGAAACUUCGGGUCGGUUUUCAAAAAUUCGGUUCGGUAAUUCGGUUUCGGCUUAAAAGUGCCCAGGCCUACUUGAGAGAAGCUCAUAAAACGCCUUACACCGUCCAUCCUGGCGAAACCAAAAUGUACCGAGAUUUGAAGCAAAACUUCUGGUGGAAGCGGAUGAAGGUUGACGUUUCUAAGUAUGUGGCCACCUGUGAAGUAUGUCAGCGCGUGAAGGCCGAGCAUAAGCGGCUUGCAGGUUUGCUGAAGCCAUUAGAAAUUCCAGAGUGGAAAUGGGAGCAUAUCACCAUGGAUUUUGUGGUGGGUCUACCUCGUUCCCCUCGUGGCAGGGAUGCUAUUUGGGUGGUAGUGGAUCGCUUGACUAAGUCUGCGCAUAUUAUUCCCAAGAAGACCACAAAUUCAGCUUCAGAUUUGGUUCCCUUGUAUAUGAAGGAAGUAGUCAGGCUUCACGGGGUACCUAAGUCUAUUGUUUCUGAUCGAGACUCCAAAUUUGUAUCCAAAUUCUGGGAGAGUCUCCAUAGUGCUUUGGGCACCAAGCUUUCGCUUAGUGUUGCUUUUCACCCUCAGACGGAUGGUCAGUCAGAGCGAACAAUCCAAACCUUGGAAGACAUGUUGCGUGCUUGUGUUCUGUCAUGGAAGGGUAACUGGGAGGAUCAUCUUGCUCUGGCAGAGUUUGCUUAUAACAAUAGCUACCAGGCUAGCAUCAAGAUGGCACCAUUUGAGGCUUUGUAUGGCAGGCGGUGUAUCUCUCCUCUGUGCUGGGAGACUUUGGGAGAGAGAUCCCUGGUUGGUCCUGAUUGGGUUCAGCAAACUUCUGAAAAGGUUCGGGAAAUUCGUCAGAAUAUUUUGGCAGCUCAGAGUCGUCAGAAGAGUUAUGCUGAUGUGAGGAGGCGGGAUCUGGAAUUUGCUGUGGGUGACCAAGUCCUUCUCAGGGUAUCACCCACUAAGGGAGUUGUUCGGUUCGGUGUCUCUGGGAAGCUCAGCCCGAGAUACAUUGGACCGUUCACUAUCUUGGCCCGAGUGGGCAGCCUGGCUUAUCGCUUGCUACUGCCGGAUUCCAUGGCAGGGGUACACCCGGUUUUUCAUGUCUCUAUGUUGAGGAAGUUCUUGCGGGAUCCGGACCAUCAGAUUGAGAUGGAACCAAUUGCGAUGCAGCAGGAUUUGACUCUGGAGUGUCGUCCGGUGCGUAUAUUGGAAUUCUCGGAGCGUGCGUUGAGGAAGAGAUCAAUUAAGUAUGUUAAGGUCUUAUGGACUAAUCAGUCUGAGCGCGAGGCUACGUGGGAACUUGAGGAGCUGAUGCGGCAGAAGUACCCGGAACUUUUCGUUGUGGGUAAGUGUUGUUGAUUCAUUAAUCUUUUCUUUUGUCAUUCCGAUAGAAGCAUCAGAAUUCGAGGUCGAAUUCUUUUUAAGAGGGGUAGAGUGUGAUACCCGGUUUGCAAAGAAGAGAAGUUGGGGGUUGUUCUUUUUGUUUUUUUCCUCAUCCGGUUGUUGUUUUGGAGAUUUGGAAUUUUGUGGAAAACAUUCACAACUAGGGCAGUAGAAUUUAUUUGGUUUGACGCUUGCGUUGCGGUCGGGAGCUGUCGCGUGGGUUAGUUGGGCCGCAAUUGGUGUUUCGGUCCAUUAAUCCUCCCAAACCCUAGCCGCCUCCCUCCUAACCCCCUCCCCCCUUGUGCAGCCGCCCCCCCCCCACUUCUCCCACACCUUGGCCGCCGCCCCCCUGCCCAUCUCCUCCUCUCUCAAUUCUUGCAGCCACACCACCAAACCCUAGCCCCCCCCCAAUCUCCUCCUCCCAAGGUGCCAAUCCUUGCCGCUCAGAUCAUCGUCGUGGUGCGAGUCUUCAAUCGUUUUGGUGGAGGGAAGAAGGGAGGAAGGAAAAGGGGAGAAUCCAAGGUGGUGGACUCCCAGAUCGUUCUUAGGGAUUUGCCCAAACUUCCGGUGAAGGCAAGUAAAACUGUGAUGGUUAUUCCAUCUGUCAGAUGAGGAGUCUUAUACUUGAUUAUGUUGUGCUAUUGUGUUCAUAUUCAUAUUUUUUUUUGAGUACCAUCAUUUGAAAAUGUUCAUGUUUCAUGGAUUUCAUAUGUUGAGUUUGAGGUUUGAUUAUGUUACUCAAGUGGUUAUUAUGUGGAAUGGGUGGAAGUAAAUGUCUAGCACAUUUUUAUUUGGGAAGAACUCAUGAUGUUGUCAUGCAUAAUGCACUCAUCAUCCAUUGCAUUGAAGUUUCGUCGCGAUCUUAUGGUCCGACCGUACCGGUACAUUGAGCAUCAUAUGUUGCCCGAGAAGGGGUAUGAUGCAGCUUCAUAUCCUUAGAGAUAUGGAGGCAGAAGUCAUUAUUGCAUUUGUAGCUAUGUGCAUUCAUGGGAGAGGUGUGGAAUUUAUUAUGUGGAUGUGGAUAAUUUGGACUUGUGCAUGGUGAUUCUACUUGGCGUUGAGUUUUUAGUUACUUGUUUACUUGCUGCAAUUUGCUAUUCAAAAGAAAAGAAAGAAGUUCUGAACACGUGGUUGUGUAAGCACAGUUGAUUUACAAUGUCCUAUUUGUUGUUGUUAUGUUUACUUGCUGAGAUGUGUUAUCUCACAUCUUGCAUUGUUUGAUGCAGGCACCUAAUUUCUGCUUUGGGAAUAGAGGGAUGUAGCAGCACGGCCACUACACCUUUAAUAAAGGAACCACCAUUUAAUAAUUUUGUUAAUCAGAGUUGGGCAAGUCUAGUGAAUUGCUUUGUUCUUGGUUGAGCGUUUAUUUUGGGGUGGGCUGAGUUUCUUAUCCCAUUUGUUUUACUUCAGUUGGGGCAUAAAUGAGCUUUACCACUUUGCAUCUAGUUUCUACUAUGUGAAUUAUAUGUCUUUAUAUCCUGUAUGAACUUCAUGUUUUUCCCUCCUUGUUAUGUUAGUUUCAAAGGAGGUGCUGCCGGAU